rnacentral:tRNA from 1 species
GGAGGUUGUUGCUCAGUGGUAGAACAUCUGUUCUGUUCUUCAUGCAGAAAACCCAGGUUCAGUUCCUGGCAUCUCCA